rnacentral:rRNA from 1 species
AACGGGGGGCUGGCGAUAUUCAUCAUAGACUGGGCGUACAGGGAUCGUAGGUGGGUUUACUUAAUUAAAGGUAAAAGGCUAAAAGUUAUUUAUGCAUGUUCUUUAAUAUUGGGUAAUGCUUGAGUAUUGAGGAGGUAGGCGGUAUUCUUGGUGGAGAAGGUAACAUGCUGGGAUAUCAAUGAAGACUAACAGAGGCCAAAGGCGGCUUGCCACUUUUAUACUAACACUGAGGAUCUAAAGUAUGGGCGCAAACAGG